rnacentral:rRNA from 1 species
CGGAUUGCAGCCUGCAACUCGGCUGCAUGAAGCUGGAAUCGCUAGUAAUCGCGGAUCAGAACGCCGCGGUGAAUACGUUCCCGGGUCUUGUACACACCGCCCGUCACACCAUGGGAGCCGGAAACGCCCGAAGCCAGCGGCCCAACCGCAAGGGGGGAGCUGUCGAAGGCGGGGCCGGUGACCGGGGUGAAGUCGUAACAAGGUAUC